CUUUUCCUCUCUCUUCUCUCAUCUCUAUCCUUUAGAGAGAGGAAACGAUCGAAGCUUCUUAAUCUGAUAACGAUUGCUACUUCAGCAUCUGUUGAUCGUUCACGAUGGCUUCUGAACAGAAUCCUAUGGCUUUCUCAGCAUAGAUGUCUGGCUCUUGUCCGUUAACGUUUGUCUUUUCGACAACGUUUGAUCGGCUCUCUUCUGACACCAUCUUGUUUCUCUUUUACGGUGGUGGUUGGCUUGUGUCUGGCUUCCGUUGGCUUCUACAGUAGCGGUGGGCUAGCUAAGUUCUAGAAAUUCACCAUAUAGCUCUGGUGUUUCUUUUAGCUUUUGGCCAGAUUGUUUUUGGUUCAAAAUUAUGCUUUCUUUGUCUCGAUUUCCUUAUUUUCGGUCUGAUUAGACUCUUUUGCAAUUCUAUUUGAGUACUGGAAUCGUAAUUCCUUGAAUCCCAGGCGUUUAAAGAGCUCGAUUUGUGUUCCAAGUUUAUCAAUUUCAAUUUUUAAGAACAAAUUGGAGUUAGGGGUUAAGGUUUUUUUUUUGUGACUUUGGAUUGAAUUUAUGCAAUUGUGGCUAUUUCUUUAACCGAUCUAUGGAAUCGAGUUUGUUUCUCUUCGUUUAUAGGUGUUGCUGAAAGCUCCAUCGAUUUAAAUGUUUCACCGAUGUUCUUCGGAGAUUUGGAAUCAAUUGCUUUGGGAAGAUAUUUUCUUUGCAGUUUUGAUGUUGAAGUUUAGUGAGCUUCUCCAAUUAAAAACCGAUAGACUUCUGUGUUUGAAGUUCUAAUGGUUUCCGGUGGUUUUGGAGUUUCCGUUUGUUGCUUACCAUACGAUGAACGGCGACAACAUAAACUUCAUCUCUCAACGUGUUAAACUUUAGUUCAUAGCAUCACAUGUGGCUCUGUGUUGGAAGUUUUAAUGUUUACUUCCUCAAAAGGUUUAGUUUCUAGAUUGAGCUUUCAUAAUAUUAGGCCUUUAAGUUGAAUUUGUUGGUUACAGUUUAAUGUGUGCAGGGCCUGUAAGUGGAAGGUUACACUGUUGUAUUUCUUACGACUUAAGAUAUAAAUAAAGAGCAACACUUAUGAGGAAAA